UACGUAGGUGGCAAGCGUUGUCCGGAUUUACUGGGCGUAAAGCGCGUGUAGGCGGCCCGUUUAGUCUGUCGUGAAAUCUCCCGGCUUAACCGGGAUGGGUCGACGGAUACUGGCGAGCUUGAGGGGAGCAGAGGAAGGUGGAAUUCCCGGUGUAGUGGUGAAAUGCGUAGAUACGGCGGAGGAACACCAGUGGCGAAGGCGGCCUUCUGGGCUCUACCUGACGCUGAGACGCGAAAGCGUGGGGAGCGAACCGG
rnacentral:rRNA from 1 species